rnacentral:rRNA from 1 species
CCUACGGGGGGCAGCAGUGAGGAAUAUUGGUCAAUGGGCUUACGCCUGAACCAGCCAAGUCGCGUGAGGGAAGACUGCCCUAUGGGUUGUAAACCUCUUUUGUCAGGGAGCAACGCCGGCUACGUGUAGCCGGUCUGAGAGUACCUGAAGAAAAAGCAUCGGCUAACUCCGUGCCAGUAGCCGCGGUAAUACGGAGAAUGCGAGUGUUAUCCGGAUUUAUUGGGUUUAAGGGUGCGUAGGCGGAAUUCCAAGUCAGCGGUAAAAAUGCGGGGCUCAACCUCGCUCCGCCGUUGAAACUGGCGUUCUUGAGUGGGCGAGAAGUAUGCGGAAUGCGUGGUGUAGCGGUGAAAUGCAUAGAGAUCAUACAGAACACCGAUUGCGAAGGCAGCUUACCAAACUAUAUCUGACGUUGAGGCACGAAAGCGUGGGUAGCAAACAGGAUUAGAUACCCGGGUAGUC